UCCAAGUCUUGAGUGUGCCUGGGCUAUCUGAGAAACAAUAAGGAGGUUAGUGCAGCUGCAGCUGAGUGAAUGAGGGAGAGAAUGUAGUAAGAGAAGAGCUUUAGGGAUAUGCCUGGGGCCAGAUCACACAGGGUCUGGUAGGUUAUGGAAAGGAUUUUUGUACUGACCGAGAAUGGAGGACAUUACAGAGUUUUGAGCAAAGAAGGGACAUGAUAUGACCUGUGCUUUUAAUUCUUCUGGCUGCUGUGUUGAGCAAAGGUAACAGUAGGGUGAGGAUGGAAGAAAGGAGACCAGAUAGACGAAGAUGUGGAAUAGGAGUUAAGGGAGCAGUACGAAGAGCAAGUGAGGAUGAUUACAGACACUACUUUGAAAUCUUUGUAGUGGGAAGGAACACAGUGGGACAGCCUCUUUUUAGCAUUUCAGAAAAAACUAGUGGACACAAUUCAUUGGAGCACAGGCAUAUGAAUGUGAUAAAAUAGAGUGGUUUGCAAAGCCAAGAUAAAAAUGGAAUGAAUGAAAAAACAAGUUUCCCCAAAGGUAAGUUGUGUCAUUAUGUUUACCUGUCUUGCACCGUCUGUCUGCUCUUUUUCUGCUAGUGCUUCGCUGGCCAAGCCACUUCACUGAAAUCUUUACUUUCCCUCAUAUGCCUUGUCAAGACUCUUUUCACAGAUACCAUGGUGAUUAAAAAAAAAAAAUUGGAUCAUGUUACCCCUGCUUAUGU